rnacentral:lncRNA from 1 species
UCAUCCGGCUCCUAAAUUUCAUGAUACUGUUAAUGAACAGCAUUCUGGAAAUAAUCAACCAUCUAUGCAAUAUCAUGAUAGAGUGGAUAACAAUAAACAUUCUUCUGUUGUUUCUCCAUCAUCUCACUCUUACACACCUGGAGUUUAUCCUUCCCAAGACUAUCAUCCUCCUCCACCUUCCCAUGACUAUCAUUCUCCUCCACCUUCCCAAGACUAUCAUUCUCCUCCACCUUCCCAAGACUAUCAUUCUCCUCCACCUUCCCAAGACUAUCAUCCUCCACCACCUUCCCAAGAUUAUCAUCCUCCUCCACCAUCCCAAGAUUACCAUCCUCCACCUGCCAGGUCAGAAAGUUCGUAUUCUGAGCUCUACAACCAUCAGCAAUACUCAUCGGAGAAUUCACAGCAUUUAGGGCCUAACUACCCUUCUCAUGAAAAUUCCUCCUAUUCCUAUCCCCAUU